UACGUAGGAGGCAAGCGUUGUCCGGAAUUACUGGGCGUAAAGCGCGUGUAGGUGGUGGGACAAGUCUGCUGUGAAAGCGCCUGGCUUAACCGGGCGAGGUCGGCGGAAACUGUCCGACUCGAGGACGGUAGAGGGGGGUGGAAUUCCCGGUGUAGUGGUGAAAUGCGUAGAGAUCGGGAGGAACACCUGUGGCGAAGGCGGACCCC
rnacentral:rRNA from 1 species